ACGUCCGGAAACGGGCGCUAAUACCGCAUACGUCCUGAGGGAGAAAGUGGGGGAUCUUCGGACCUCACGCUAUCAGAUGAGCCUAGGUCGGAUUAGCUAGUUGGUGGGGUAAAGGCCUACCAAGGCGACGAUCCGUAACUGGUCUGAGAGGAUGAUCAGUCACACUGGAACUGAGACACGGUCCAGACUCCUACGGGAGGCAGCAGUGGGGAAUAUUGGACAAUGGGCGAAAGCCUGAUCCAGCCAUGCCGCGUGUGUGAAGAAGGUCUUCGGAUUGUAAAGCACUUUAAGUUGGGAGGAAGGGCAGUAAGUUAAUACCUUGCUGUUUUGACGUUACCAACAGAAUAAGCACCGGCUAACUUCGUGCCAGCAGCCGCGGUAAUACGAAGGGUGCAAGCGCUAAUCGGAAUUACUGGGCGUAAAGCGCGCAUAGGUGGUUCAGCAAGUUGGAUGUGAAAUCCCCGGGCCCAACCUGGGAACUGCAUCCAAAACUACUGAGCUAGAGUACGGUAGAGGGUGGUGGAAUUUCCUGUGUAGCGGUGAAAUGCGUAGAUAUAGGAAGGAACACCAGUGGCGAAGGCGACCACCUGGACUGAUACUGACACUGAGGUGCGAAAGCGUGGGGAGCAAACAGG
rnacentral:rRNA from 1 species